UGUCCUUUAAACUCAAAGAAUUUGGCGGUGUUUUAUUCUAUUCAGAGGAACUUGUCUCGUUAUCGAUAAUCCCCGUUAUAUCUUGCUUGAUUUUAAUUAGUAUGUAUACCGCCGUUAUAAGUUUAUUUUUUUAGAUUAUUUACUGUUAAUAUUAUUAUAUUUUAUUUCAGGUCAAGGUGCAGCUUAUAGUUAAGUGUUGAUGAGUUACAAUAUUAUUUAAGUAAAUGAAUUUUUUUUUGAAUUAAUGUUAAUGAAGGUGGAUUUGUUAGUAAUUUUAUUUAUAAUAUUAUUUUGAUUUUAGCUCUAAAACAAGUACACAUCGCCCGUCGCU
rnacentral:rRNA from 1 species